rnacentral:rRNA from 1 species
UACAGAGGUGGCGAGCGUUGUUCGGAUUUACUGGGCGUAAAGGGUGCGUAGGCGGUUCUGUGUGUCGAACGUGAAAUACCACCGCUCAACGGUGGAACGGCAUUCGAAACUACAGAACUAGAGUGCAGACGGGGAGAGCGGAAUUCCUGGUGUAGCGGUGAAAUGCGUUGAGAUCAGGAAGAACACCGGUGGCGAAGGCGGCUCUCUGGGAUGCAACUGACGCUGAGGCACGAAAGCUGGGGGAG